rnacentral:misc_RNA from 1 species
GAUGAAGAACGUAGCGAAAUGCGAUAAGUAAUGUGAAUUGCAGAAUUCAGUGAAUCAUCGAAUCUUUGAACGCACAUUGCGCCCCCUGGUAUUCCGGGGGGCAUGCCUGUUCGAGCGUCAUUUCACCACUCAAGCCUCGCUUGGUAUUGGGCAACGCGGUCCGCCGCGUGCCUCAAAUCGACCGGCUGGGUUUUCUGUCCCCUAAGCGUUGUGGAAACUAUUCGCUAAAGGGUGUUCGGGAGGCUACGCCGUAAAACAACCCCAUUUCUAAGGUUGACCUCGGAUCAGGUAGGGAUACCCGCUGAACUUAAGCAUAUCAAUAAGCGGAGGA